CCCAGAGUUACUUUACCCCACACCCCUAGCGGGCGCUCAGGCCGGGAGCGCGCCCCCUCAACCCCGGAGGAAGGAGGAGCGGCGCCUCCUGGAACAGCCGGCGAGCGGGGGCGGGCAGUUCCAGGUGAUUGCUCCAAAAGAAACUACAAAACAAGAACAAACCAAAGAUACUACAUAGUCACCAUCAACCUGGUAUAGAACACCUUAAUGAUGUUUCCUCCAUCACGGGAUGAUGAGCAAGGUUGAUUUCAGUAUCGGCCUAGACAACAAUAUCCACUGCUGGCUUGGUACUGAGCAUUGAGCAGGGUGCUAGGGAGACCUGCCCUCAGCCUGCUUACCGCCUACCACUCCUUCUGCCUCUGCCCCAGGAGAUGCAAACUCCAGGAAGACAGAAGCAAUAUCCCGUGUAGCACGGGACACAACGCCCAUUCCCCUGGACAGCAGCCAGUGAAGUCUGUAGGUGAAUGUGCCCACUGUUAUUCAAAGCUCUUUGGGUUUAAGAGAGGCUGACAAAGUGCAAUAGGACCACAAAAGGAGAGAACAACCUUCAAGAGGAAGACACACCUGAAGGCCAUUUUUGUCCGACUCUUGUUUCUAGCUUCAGAGUCUUGGCUCCUCUAGUCUCUCCUGCCUGGAGUAGCCUGGCUUCCUCUCAACCACACUGGGCUAACUCAGAACAUAGUAAUCAAUCAAUAUUCGUUUGAACUAACAAGAGACAGAGUGAACAGAUUAUGCUCUAUAGCUUUGGAUAUCCAUCACUUCACUCAAGACUAGCUACUAAAUUUGUGAAGUCCCUUGUUCAAAAAUUAACAAAUUCAAAACAGCAACAGUAGAGUAUUAACCAAGUGUUGGGCCUUCUAAAGCACAGGGCCCUGCUGUAGACUGAAUGUGUGUGUCCCCCAAAAUUCAUGUUGAAAACCUAAUGUCCAAGUGAUGGUACUAGGGGAUGGCCUGUGAGAGGUGAUUAGGUCAAGAGGGCAGAACCCUCAAAAAUGGAAUUAGCGCCCUUAUAAAAGAGGCUGCAGAGAGAUCCCUUGACUUUCCAUCAUGUGAGGACACAAGAAGGCCCUAUGAACCAGGAGGAGAGAUCUCACCAGAAUAUGACCAUGCUGGUGCUUGAUCUUGGACUUCCCAGCCUCCAGAACUGUGAGAAAUAAAUUUGUUUAUAA